UACGUAGGGGGCAAGCGUUGUCCGGAAUCAUUGGGCGUAAAGAGCGUGUAGGCGGUUCGGUAAGUCCGCUGUAAAAGUCCAGGGCUCAACCCUGGAAAGCCGGUGGAAACUGUCGAACUAGAGUCCGGAAGAGGCGAGUGGAAUUCCUGGUGUAGCGGUGAAAUGCGCAGAUAUCAGGAGGAACACCAAUGGCGAAGGCAGCUCGCUGGGACGGUACUGACGCUGAGACGCAAAAGCGUGGGGAGCAAACAGG
rnacentral:rRNA from 1 species